AUUGAACGCUGGCGGCAUGCCUUACACAUGCAAGUCGAACGGCAGCACGGGUGCUUGCACCUGGUGGCGAGUGGCGAACGGGUGAGUAAUACAUCGGAACAUGUCCUGUAGUGGGGGAUAGGCCGGCGAAAGCCGGAUUAAUACCGCAUACGAUCUACGGCUGAAAGCGGGGGACCUUCGGGCCUCGCGCUUUAGGGUUGGCCGAUGGCUGAUUAGCUAGUUGGUGGGGUAAAGGCCUACCAAGGCGACGAUCAGUAGCUGGUCUGAGAGGACGACCAGCCACACUGGGACUGAGACACGGCCCAGACUCCUACGGGAGGCAGCAGUGGGGAAUUUUGGACAAUGGGCGAAAGCCUGAUCCAGCAAUGCCGCGUGUGUGAAGAAGGCCUUCGGGUUGUAAAGCACUUUUGUCCGGAAAGAAAUCCUUGGCCCUAAUACGGUCGGGGGAUGACGGUACCGGAAGAAUAAGCACCGGCUAACUACGUG
rnacentral:rRNA from 1 species